GGGUUGUGAGGUUAAGCGACUAAGCGUACACGGUGGAUGCCCUGGCAGUCAGAGGCGAUGAAGGGCGUGCUAAUCUGCGAUAAGCGCCGGUAAGGUGAUAUGAACCGUUAUAACCGGCGAUACCCGAAUGGGGAAACCCAGUGUGAUCGUCACACUAUCAUUAACUGAAUCCAUAGGUUAAUGAGGCGAACCGGGGGAACUGAAACAUCUAAGUACCCCGAGGAAAAGAAAUC
rnacentral:rRNA from 1 species